GUGUCCCACAGCACUAUAGCCCACCAAUGACUCUGAAUGCCAUCCCACACUCUCAGGCCAUAGCUGGACCAAGUGUAAGCACAGCUCUUGCUGCUCCAACUGUUGCUGCUUUGGCACCACAUUAUCCUUCUCAGACAAAUUCUCUACGCCCCAUCAGUAGCGUUUGAGCUAUUCUGACUUAAACAUCUUGACUACUGAUCUUGGUUCCUCUCUUCUCCGUCUCAACUCCAUAUAGCUGGCUAGGGACUCCUUACAAUUCUCUCCUCUACGUAUAUGGACCCAUGGCAAAAUCUUAUUUCAGUCUUUAACCAUCUGUUGAGAGGGGAUAUUUAAGUAUUUAAUUAGCCAUUUUUGGAUAAUAUCUCCAUCACAUGAAGCAAUUUGUCUAAGAUGGGUUAGAUUAGUUAGACGAUACAUAGAAACAAGUUCAUAGAAUG
rnacentral:misc_RNA from 1 species